CACCUCCUGUAAUUGUAGAAACCAAAGCUAACUUGUAUCAAUCUCAUGAUAUCUCAAUGUUUAGUACUAAAAUAUUUCUGUUUUUCUUUUCUUGAAAUGCAUAUGAUUCUAGUUUUAUGGAAUAUUAGAAAUCAAUAACAUUACCAAAACAUGUUAAGGAGGGCUGGAUACCUGAAAUGCUUAUGAGCCAAAAUGAAAAAUGGGAGGGAAGAAGGUGACAUGCAACUGACUUGCAGGUGAGAGAAUCAACCAAAGUCAAGUUCUUCAUCUCUCAGGCUUGCUCCCUGUGGAUUUGCACUGUCCUAUAAUCACAUGAGACUAAAUUUUUUGAUUAAUGAGAAGCUCUGGAUAUUGAAGCCCAAGGGCAACAGAGACAACGAAUAAACUACCUGUGGCUCUCGCACAGCCUUACCCACGUGGGGAGGCAGCAGCCCUGACCCACCUUAGAGGCCAGCAUUUCUGCACAGGAGCCAGGUGCUUCUCUAUCUUCCUGUGUUCUCAGAGAACAGAGCUUUCAUUUAUCUCCAUCACACCUAGCCAAGAUCUGAAUGUCCUUCCUCUGUGCCGGCACCCAGUGCCAAAGAUGAUUGUGGACAUCCAGACAGAGCAGAAUACCAUCAGUUACAAAGGCUGCCUCACCCAGA
rnacentral:lncRNA from 1 species